rnacentral:lncRNA from 1 species
AGUUAGUGCCUUCAGUGGGUGCCUUCAGUUGGUGGCAUUUGGUUGCCUUUCCUGGGGACAGGUGGCAGGUGCUCAGCUCUGCAGGGUGGGGGCAAUUGAAGGCCCAAGCUGCCCGAGAAGAGCGGAGUUGCCCCAUGGGGACCACGCUGGCCUGUAGCAUGUGCACCAAAGCCAGCCCCAGGCAGGGCCCCCACAGGGCUUCUGCGGAGCCAUCCUGAGGCUUUGACAUCUAUGAGUGGGCGGCCAGCAAAGGCGCAGGCCCCAGCACAGAGGAGCAGAGGCGGCCGGAACACCCUGUCCCUUGAUACCAGCCCCAAGCAGAGCCACCUCAGGAUAAGGUGUUUGGAGCCGUCCUGCAGCUCUGAGAUCCACGAGGUGGCGGUGGGAGUAGCACCAGACUCCACUGAUUUGGAGUCUGCCCUGUCUGAUUCAGGAGACAUGACUAGCAGCACAUCGGCACCAGAAGACGCCAGAAGAGACAGGGUUUCACUGUGUUGCCCAGGCUGGUCUCAAACCCCUGGCCUCAAGUGAUUCACUCACGUUGGCCUCCCGCUUUGUUGGGAUGACAGGCAAGAACCACCACACCUGGCCUUGGGAGCUGCUCCUGCUUUGUGUGUUUUGGCUGGUCUUCCUGCACAGCUGUCG